rnacentral:rRNA from 1 species
UACGUAGGUGGCGAGCGUUGUCCGGAUUUACUGGGCGUAAAGGGAGCGUAGGCGGACUUUUAAGUUAGAUGUGAAAUACCCGGGCUCAACUUGGGUGCUGCAUUUCAAACUGGAAGUCUAGAGUGCAGGAGAGGAGAAUGGAAUUCCUAGUGUAGCGGUGAAAUGCGUAGAGAUUAGGAAGAACACCAGUGGCGAAGGCGAUUCUCUGGACUGUAACUGACGCUGAGGCUCGAAAGCGUGGGGAGGCAAACAGGAUUAGAUACCCUGGUA